AAGUCGUAACAAGGUUUCCGUAGGUGAACCUGCGGAAGGAUCAUUAAUGAUUUUUAAAGCGAGUCUAGCGUUAAGCGAGGCUCGCGAAAUAUUUAAAACCCCACUCUUUUUAACUUUAAAAAAUAAAUCAUGAUACAUGAAUUUAAAAAAAAGAUCACUUUCAACAACGGAUCUCUUGGCUCUC
rnacentral:misc_RNA from 1 species